rnacentral:rRNA from 1 species
UACGUAGGGUGCGAGCGUUGCCCGGAUUUAUUGGGCGUAAAGGGCGCGUAGGCGGCUCGGCACGUCCGUUGUGAAAUCGCCCGGCUCAACUGGGCGGGGUCAGCGGAUACGGCCGAGCUUGAGCAAGCUAGGGGGCAAUGGAAUUCCCGGUGUAGUGGUGGAAUGCGCAGAUAUCAGGAAGAACACCCGUGGCGAAGGCGGCUUUCUGGGACGGUACUGACGCUGAGACGCGAAAGCGUGGGGAGCGAACAGG